GGUGUUGUGGCUCAGUGGCAGAGUGCUUGCCUCACAUGUGUGAGGCACUGGGUUCAAUUCUCAGCAACACAU
rnacentral:tRNA from 1 species